UACGUAGGGUGCAAGCGUUGUCCGGAAUUAUUGGGCGUAAAGAGCUCGUAGGCGGCUUGUCGCGUCGACUGUGAAAUCCCGCGGCUCAACUGCGGGUCUGCAGUCGAUACGGGCAGGCUAGAGUUCGGUAGGGGAGACUGGAAUUCCUGGUGUAGCGGUGAAAUGCGCAGAUAUCAGGAGGAACACCGGUGGCGAAGGCGGGUCUCUAGGCCGAUACUGACGCUGAGGAGCGAAAGCGUGGGGAGCGAACAGG
rnacentral:rRNA from 1 species